rnacentral:miRNA from 1 species
UGUAUGUAUGUAUAUAUGUAUACACACUAUAUAAUAUAUACAUAUAUAGAGAGAUCUCUUUCAUAUAUUAACAUAUUCAUAUAUAUG